rnacentral:misc_RNA from 1 species
AAGUCGUAACAAGGUUUCCGUAGGUGAACCUGCGGAAGGAUCAUUACAAGAAACGAGGCUACGUGCCCCGCUCUUUACCUUGCCUACUGCACUAUCUGUUGCUUCCUGGCGGCGGUUUGCCUGCCGCCAGGGACAUUAUAAAGCCCUGCAUUAGCAUUGAAAAACUAAAACAAACCGAAUCGUACAACUUUUAACAAUGGAUCUCUUAGUUCUA